AGACAUUAAUCUUAAGUAUCCAGGGAGCCCUAAAACAUUGUAUCCCACUAGCAAGGACCAUGGUAAUUGCCACGUAAAUCCCCUCCAUUAUGUGGCCCUUAUUAUGACCAGCCAGCCAAGGCUUGCCUUUAAAUCAUACCAAUUGAACCGAGCCUUGUAGAAACACUAUCACCUACGCAUACCUCUGCUUCUUUUCAUUAACCUGCUAUCCUCUUUACAAAUGGGAUUCUUCACCCACUCCCUUCUUCUAGAUUAGCAAUGCCCUGUUAAGUAAACGAACACGAAAUUCAAAGGGAAACAGGAGCAAUCAUCAUUACCAGCUGCCGUGUUAAGCAUUGCGAAAACGCUCACGAUUCACAGAAAAAUCCAUGCUGUUCUUUGAAGGCAUUCAAGCCUUAAUAGCUAGCUGGAUGAAUGUUUAACUUCUAGGCCAGGCACUACUCUGUCCCAACAAUAAGCCCUGUACAUUGGGAAAGGUGCCGAGACAUGAACUUUGGUCUUCUCUGCAAUCCAUCUGGAGCAUUCACUGACAACAUCGACUUUGAAGUUGCACUGACCUGGCCAGCCCUGCCACUUACCAGGUUGGCUCUGUAUGGCUAAGCGUUUUCUCCUAAAAUCCCUUGAAAACUGUGAGAAGACCAUAAGAAGAUCAUAUCUUUAAUUCUAUUUCACAAGUCACACAAUAUUCCAAUCAAAUACAGAUGGUUGAGAAAAGUCAUCCAUCUUCCCUCCCCACCCUCCCACAGCCCCUCAACCACUGCCCUGAAACUUAUAUGCUGUUAUCCGCAGCUCCAUCUGGAGCAUCACAGCUACUGUCAACCCUGACGCUCUUUCUGAAAAAACACCGGAUGGACAUCAGAACUAUUUCUUUAAGGAUGUUACUGAGCCACACAGGAAAACUUGCCUUAUGAUUUUGAAUGCACGGAUCUGAUUUGACUAAACAUGAUAACUAGAGAAUCACCCAAUCUACUCCCAUUUUCAACUCUAAAUCAUCAGAGUGUCUCAAAUCCAAAGCACACACAGACCAGCCUGGCCAACACGGUGAAACUCCACCCCUACUAAAAGUAUAAAAAUUAUCCAGGUGUGGUGGCGGGCGCCUGUAAUCCAAGCUACUUGGGAGUCUGGAGGCAGGAGAAUCCCUUGAACCUGGGAGAUGGAGGUUGCAGUGAGCAGAGAUCACACCACCGCACUCUAGCCUGGGCCACAAAUCAACAACAACAACAACAACAAAAAACAAAGCGCACACAGAGACUGAGGUCCUCUUUGGCAUUGAGAAGAUGGCUAUGCAAGUCCCAACUAGCAAGUGCAAACUUCCCAGCUUCACUUCUGCCAGUGUCCCUUCACCCCUUCUCAACCCCACUGGGAGGCAGGAGGGUGCUUGACAAUAACAGCCUUGGCAUCACUCUGCCAGGGUGUAAUAGGAACUGUUACAAUUCUGAGAUUCUGUGUAAGCACUGGCCUUUCUGCCUAGAAUGCCUUCUCCUCUCUUUUUUAACUGCAUGCUCCUAUUUAUCUUUCAAAGCCCGGAAAAAAUAACACUGCACACGGGAAAUGCUCCCUUCCUACUGCAGUCAUUUAGAUGACUCUAUGCCAUUCCAUUCAUUUCUCUUUCCUACCACAGAAGUGCUUUGAGAUUUUGGAGUCAGACUGCUUGAACUUGAAUCCUGGCCCUCUCAUCAGAGACUUGACUUAUUUUAGGCAAGUUAUAUAACCAAUUUUACCUCAGUUCCUUACCCAUAAAAUGGGUCUAAUGAGAGUACCUACCACACAGAAUUUUGAUGAAAACUGAAUGAGAUGAAGGCCUUUAAGGCAGUGGUCCCCAACCCUGGGGACACAGACAGGUACCAUUUUGUGGCCUGUUAGGAACUGGGCCACACAGCAGGAGGUGAGCAGUGGGUGAGUGAGAUCAGCGUUAUUUACAGCUGCUCCCCAUUGCUCACCUUACUGCCUGAGCUCCACCUCCUGUCAGAUCAGCAGUGGCAUUAAAUUCUCAUAGCAGCACAAACCCUGUCAUGAACUGCACAUGCGAGGGAUCUAGGUUGUGCGCUCCUUAUGAGAAUCUAAUGCCUAAUGACCUGUCACCGUCUCCCAUCACCCCUAGAUGGGAGUGUCUAGUUGCAGGAAACAAGCUCAGGGCUUCCACUGAUUCUACAUUAUGGCACUCAGGAAAUAUUAGUUGCAUGAACGAAGGCUGCAUUUUCAUUAGAACAACAUGCAGUUCAACCCCUUCAUGUUUCAAUGAGGGUUCAGAUACCCAGAGGGCUAUGCUAUCAUCCUGGAGCCCACUCUGCUAACAAUUAGCAGAACGGAAGCCUUAAUUUCCAGAUUCUAGUGAACUUGAUGAGUCAAGACUAUUGCAAUUGGAAAUCUGUUCUCCUCUGCUGCUGCAUUCCCUGCUUAAUACUCAAGCCAGAAACCAGGAAGGCUGUGGCUUGCCUUUUCACUUCUUGUGUCCUGUUUAAGAAAUAUCUGCUAUCCCAAGCAUCUGGCAUCUUUCUUGACAUAUGUAGCAGUUGCUUUUUGACAGCUUGCUUCUUCAGUGAAUGAAUAAAUUAAUAAAGAGAAAUGUGAUGUUCAGUGAUCCAUUUUGCAGAUAACACUAACAAAGUUGACCUUAGAAUUGGAGUGCCUGGGUUAGAACCCUGCUGGUACCACCUGCUUACUGCAUGCUUCUGAUGUGAGUUCAGGAGAAGACACUGGCAAGGACAGCAAAGAACAGGAGAACACUCUAGCUUCCCUGAUAGCAUUCAAGGUGCUGUCCAAAGCUCUUGAGUUUCUGCUUUCAAGUGACCCUCAGAAAUUCCUCCAUUCACUGCAGAGGUUCUGUUUCUCCUUGCUUUGUUCUGACUUUACGGCAGAACUAAGCUAAUGAGUUAGUUACUAUGGGUUAUCACUUGGAUUUGAAGAACCAUCAUUUCUAGGCAUUGCUGCUCAGAGUGGGUCUGCCCUCAGGGGAAGCUGUCUAACCAGAGCCUAACCCACUAGGGUUUUAUCAGAACCUAACUGACCUGAGGAAAAGAAAUACUCAACUCCAGCAAGCUCCAGCCUUCCAAAUGGAGGAGGAGAAAACCCAACUCCAGCCCACUUCAGCUAUCUUGUCCCACAUAAAGGGGAAGUGGAAGAAACCUGAGAAGCAGGCAUGAAGUUCACAGUCCAGAGACCUUGCCAUCGUAUCCCCUUUUGGAGACACAAGCCAGGAAGGAAGCUCUUCAGUGCAGCUGUGAAUAGAGAAAUGCUGGCUGAGGUUUUGGAGACACUGGGUGAUCAUUCCCAGUGAAAUUUUUAGAUCCCUGGGGACAUGAGCUGCUUUGUCUUUUCCAAGGUCAGGAUAAACAGAAUAACUUCAGGCUUCUCUACCCAGAAAGAACAUGUGGCAUAAAUAUCAACUGCAGAAUAAAUAUGAUUAAUCUGGUACAUGGACGAAGAUGUUUUCUAGGAGAUGCUUAUCCUGGGAUGAGAGCUUUCAUAAGCAUUGAUAUUUACAUGACUCUUACCGUGUGUCAGGAACUGUUCUAAUUGUUUUACCUAUGUCAAUUCAUUUGAUAGUCACAACCACUGAAAGGAGUAAGUACUCUUAUUACUUCCAUUUUACAGAUAGGGAAACUGAGGUAUAGAGAAGUCAAGUGACUUGCCCGAGGUUAUUAAACUACUUAAUGUCAACACCA
rnacentral:lncRNA from 1 species